rnacentral:rRNA from 1 species
AUUUUGCGCAAUGGGGGAAACCCUGACGCAGCGACGCCGCGUGGAGGAUGAAGGCCUUCGGGUCGUAAACUCCUGUCAGAGGUGAAGAAUGCCCGCAAGGGUUUGACGGUAACCUCAGAGGAAGCCCCGGCUAACUACGUGCCAGCAGCCGCGGUAAUACGUAGGGGGCAAACGUUACUCGGAAUUACUGGGCGUAAAGGGUGCGUAGGCGGCUGGGAAAGUCAAGGAUGAAAUCCCGUGGCUCAACUGCGGAACGGUCCUUGAAACUACUCGGCUUGAGGAUAACCGAAGAGAACGGAAUUCCCGGUGGAGCGGUGAAAUGCGUAGAUAUCGGGAGGAACACCUGAGGCGAAAGCGGUUCUCUAGACUACUCCUGACGCUGAGGCACGAAAGCUAGGGGAGCAAACGGG